UACGGAAACCGAUGCGUGAUGCAGUCCCAUUAUUGCGGAAAAAUUAUGCGUGAGGAUCCAUUAGAAUCUUGUCUGUAGAGUGUACUAGAUGAUGACACUACCGCCACCUACUGAGAACAUCAAACAAAAGCAUGUUAUAAUAUGAUAUUUAUUGUUGAACGUCCGAAAACCCUAACUUAUUUCAUUUAACAAACAUAAUCUUUGUUUCUUCUACAUUAUCCUGUCGUCGCUUUAAACUGAUUUUAAUUCGUGUUCGGCAACAAAUUUUACAAGUAAUCUUCAAAGAAAAUCUACUUGGCAAAACUAUUCUCAACAACUGUAUGUACAAGGCUUGAAAAUAAAAAUAAAAUAGUGAAUUGA